rnacentral:lncRNA from 1 species
GAGUGCUCGAGUGAAAAUUUUAGUAGAGUUUUGAGAUAGAGUUUAGAGCUUAGAGAAAAACGUAUCUGGGGGUCUCUUUUUAUAGACGGAGAGCGUAACUGAUUGACAGCGACGUCUGUAACUACCUGGUAGUGGGAUGUUCAAAGCCGCACGGAGUUUGUUACGGAGAGUAGUGGUGUUAGAGGUCGUUCAGGGCCACGUGGAGUUUGUUACGGAGAGUGGAGUGGUGUCCGUUGUCGCGACUUGCCAGAGAGUGGUGGAGCCACGUGGAAUCCACUGCAGAGAAUGGAGUAGGGUAGUGGCCAUUAUCGUGACUUGUCAGAGAGUUUGGAUCUGUUGGCUAGAGCUCGGCUGGGAUAUCUGAUGGAGUGGAAUGGCUCUCUAUCCCGUCGAUCUAAAAGAAGCUCGGAUAUUUUUGAGGUUGCUGACGAGUCUACUAUUGUCGGAUGCCUCAGAUGCUGAUGCUACAGGCGGGAGUCAUCUACUGUAGAAACUCGGAUGGAGACUUUCUGUUGGUGAAGUCUGGUAGGAGUCUGAUUGCUAGAGAAGUCCAUCUGAGAUUUGCCUGAUGUAGAAGCUUGUCUGAAGAUUAUCCGCUAGAAAAGUCCGGUUUCAUGAAGAAUCUGAUGGAGGGUUGAC